AUUGAACGCUGGCGGCAGGCUUAACACAUGCAAGUCGAGCGGGGUGAUGGUGCUUGCACUAUCACUUAGCGGCGGACGGGUGAGUGAUGCUUAGGAAUCUGCCUAUUAGUGGGGGACAACAUCUCGAAAGGGAUGCUAAUACCGCAUACGUCCUACGGGAGAAAGCAGGGGAUCACUUGUGACCUUGCGCUAAUAGAUGAGCCCAAGUCGGAUUAGCUAGUUGGUGGGGCAAAGGCCUACAAAGGCGACGAUCUGUAGCGGGUCUGAGAGGAGGGUCCGCCACAUGGGGACAGAGACACGGCCCAGACUCCUACGGGAGGCAGCAGUGGGGAAGAUUGGACAAUGGGGGGAACCCUGAUCCAGCCAUGCCGCGUGUGUGAAGCAGGCCUUAUGGUUGUAAAGCACUUUAAGCGAGGAGGAGGCUCUUUUGGUUAAUACCCAAGAUGAGUGGACGUUACUCGCAGAAUAAGCACCGGCUAACUCUGUGCCAGCAGCCGCCGUAA
rnacentral:rRNA from 1 species